rnacentral:rRNA from 1 species
AUUGAACGCUGGCGGCGUGCCUAACACAUGCAAGUCGAGCGGUAACAGGUGUAGCAAUACAUGCUGACGAGCGGCGAACGGGUGAGUAAUGCUUCGGAAUCUACCUUAUGGUGGGGAAUAACUAGCCGAAAGGUUAGCUGAUACCGCAUACGUCCUACGGGAGAAAGCAGGGGAUCGCAAGACCUUGCGCCAAAAGAUGAGCCGAAGUCGGAUUAGCUAGUUGGUAGGGUAACGGCCUACCAAGGCGACGAUCCGUAGCUGGUCUGAGAGGACGACCAGCCACACUGGGACUGAGACACGGCCCAGACUCCUACGGGAGGCAGCAGUGGGGAAUAUUGGACAAUGGGGGAAACCCUGAUCCAGCGACGCCGCGUGUGUGAAGAAGGCCUGCGGGUUGUAAUGCACUUUUAGUGGGGAUGAAAUGUGCAGGGUUAAUACCUCUGCAUUUUGACCUAACCCACAGAAAAAGCACCGGCUAACUCUGUGCCAGCCGCCGCGGUAA